rnacentral:rRNA from 1 species
AUGUGUGGGAUCAACAAAACAAAGUACAGACAAUGGAAUUGGAGAAUUCUUGAUGCUUCUUUCGAUCAAGACUUGUUGAGGGGUACAGCCGCAGCUGCUCUGAGAGAUCAUAAAGGAAAUUUUAUUGCUGAGGGGAAAUGGAGACUUGAUUGGUGUACAGGUGCCCUAACAGAGGGAUUGGCGCUACGAUUUGGAUUAUCCCGAGCGCAAAGGGCUGGGUGCAGUCGACUUGUUAUCAACUCGGGUAAUUUGGAGGUCAUUAAAAUCAUGAAGAGCGGAGGAACCUAUGCAGAAGCAGCAGCAGUGAUUUUUUAUGAUUGCUAUCAUUUGGCCCGUGAUUUUUCUUUCACUAGUUUUGAACAUUGUAAUAGAGAAGCUAAUAAGGUAGCUUAUGAUCAUGCGAGAUUAGCUAGGUUUUCUACGACAAAUGAUUGGUUUGAGCAGCCUCUCAAUGUUAUUGUACCACUCCUACUGACGAUUUAA